UACGAAGGGGGCUAGCGUUGCUCGGAAUCACUGGGCGUAAAGCGCACGUAGGCGGCUUUUUAAGUCAGGGGUGAAAUCCUGGAGCUCAACUCCAGAACUGCCUUUGAUACUGGGAAGCUUGAGUCCGGAAGAGGUGAGUGGAACUCCGAGUGUAGAGGUGAGAUUCGUAGAUAUUCGGAAGAACACCAGUGGCGAAGGCGGCUCACUGGUCCGGUACUGACGCUGAGGUGCGAAAGCGUGGGGAGCAAACAGG
rnacentral:rRNA from 1 species